rnacentral:rRNA from 1 species
CCAGACUCCUACGGGAGGCAGCAGUGAGGAAUAUUGGUCAAUGGGCUUACGCCUGAACCAGCCAAGUCGCGUGAGGGAAGACGGUCCUAUGGAUUGUAAACCUCUUUUGUCGGGGAGCAAAAGACGCCACGCGUGGCGUUCCGAGAGUACCCGAAGAAAAAGCAUCGGCUAACUCCGUGCCAGCAGCCGCGGUAAUACGGAGGAUGCGAGCGUUAUCCGGAUUUAUUGGGUUUAAAGGGAGCGUAGGCGGGUUGUUAAGUCAGUUGUGAAAGUUUGCGGCUCAACCGUAAAAUUGCAGUUGAUACUGGCAUCCUUGAGUACAGUAGAGGUAGGCGGAAUUCGUGGUGUAGCGGUGAAAUGCUUAGAUAUCACGAAGAACUCCGAUUGCGAAGGCAGCCUGCUGGACUGUAACUGACGCUGAUGCUCGAAAGUGUGGGUAUCAAACAGGAUUAGAUACCCCUGUA